rnacentral:rRNA from 1 species
AUGCACGCUGGCGGCGUGCCUCAUCCAUGCAAGUCGAGCGAACAGACGAGGAGCUUGCUCCUUUGACGUUAGCGGCGGACGGGUGAGUAACACGUGGGUAACCUACCUAUAAGACUGGGAUAACUUCGGGAAACCGGAGCUAAUACCGGAUAAUAUUUCGAACCGCAUGGUUCGAUAGUGAAAGAUGGCUUUGCUGUCACUUAUAGAUGGACCUGCGCCGUAUUAGCUAGUUGGUAAGGUAACGGCUUACCAAGGCAACGAUACGUAGCCGACCUGAGAGGGUGAUCGGCCACACUGGAACGGAGACACGGUCCAGACUCCUACGGGAGGCAGCAGUAGGGAAUCUUCCGCAAUGGGCGAAAGCCUGACGGAGCAACGCCGCGUGAGUGAUGAAGGUCUUCGGAUCGUAAAACUCUGUUAUUAGGGAAGAACAAACGUGUAAGUAACUGUGCACGUCUUGACGGUACCUAAUCAGAAAGCCACGGCUAACUACGUG